rnacentral:rRNA from 1 species
AACGAACGCUGGCGGCAGGCCUAACACAUGCAAGUCGAGCGCGCCCUUCGGGGUGAGCGGCGGACGGGUGAGUAACGCGUGGGAACGUGCCCUUUUCUACGGAAUAGCCUCGGGAAACUGAGAGUAAUACCGUAUACGCCCUUUGGGGGAAAGAUUUAUCGGAAAAGGAUCGGCCCGCGUUGGAUUAGGUAGUUGGUGGGGUAAUGGCCUACCAAGCCGACGAUCCAUAGCUGGUUUGAGAGGAUGAUCAGCCACACUGGGACUGAGACACGGCCCAGACUCCUACGGGAGGCAGCAGUGGGGAAUCUUAGACAAUGGGGGCAACCCUGAUCUAGCCAUGCCGCGUGAGUGACGAAGGCCUUAGGGUUGUAAAGCUCUUUCAGCUGGGAAGAUAAUGACGGUACCAGCAGAAGAAGCCCCGGCUAACUCCGUG